rnacentral:rRNA from 1 species
UACGUAGAUGGCAAGCGUUAUCCGGAAUGACUGGGUGUAAAGGGUGCGUAGGCGGCAUAUCAAGUCAGAUGUGAAAUACCUGUGCUUAACAUAGGAAUUGCAUUUGAAACUGGUAAGCUAGAGUACAGGAGAGGGAAGUGGAAUUCCUAGUGUAGCGGUGAAAUGCGUAGAUAUUAGGAGGAACACCAGUGGCGAAGGCGACUUUCUGGACUGUAACUGACGCUGAUGCACGAAAGCGUGGGGAGCGAACAGG